ACCGGGAGGUGGCCGCCAUCUUGCGUACGGAGGGCAGACUUGUAGCUCCGCUCUUGUGGCUCGGGCUUUCAGUCCCUCCCGGUCUCUGCUUUGGGCCGUGUCUCCGUGCUUCUUUCACCGUCUUUAUUGAGAGGUAAAGGUCAAUGCAGAACUGUGUUAUAAGAUGCCUUAUGGUGAAAUUGAAGCUAAAUCCAUGGGACAUGGGGAAGAACUAAUAAGUGAACCACGCUAUAAGAAAUUGAAGUCUACUGAAGAGGCAUAUGUUUUCCCCCAUCAUGGUAAUGCUAAUUUUCACAGAAAGCAAAAGAAAACUGGAAAUGAUUGGGUCCCUGUGACCAUCACUGAUGUCAGAGGACGUAGUUAUCCUCAGGAGGACAAAACCAAAGCUAGAAGUUUGCUGAAACCUGUGCAUGAUGAGAUGCUUGGUAAUAGACGAGAUGUUAUUAAUUCUGUUGAUUCACAAGUUUUACAGGAUACACGUCCUCCAUUGGUAUCCACAGAUGAUGAGAUAUAUAGCACAAGUAAAGCAUUUAUAGGACCCAUUUACAAACCCCCUGAGAAAAAGAAAUGUAAUGAAAGGAGGAAUCGAGCAGACACUAUCAGUGGUAUAGGUGGGAAAGGAGAACGAAAAGAGAAACAGAAAUUUAAUUAUAAAAAAUCAGAGAUUGACAAUGAAUUAUUCCAGUUUUACAAAGAAAUUGAAGAGCUUGAAAAUGAAAAAGGUGAUUCAGAAAGCAGUUGUAAGGAACGUGAACCCUCUGAGGAACAACUCAUUCCGUAUUAUCAGGGCCAUAAUAAUCUGUUAAAAUCUGAAGAAGAAAAGAGAAGAGAUCUUACCAGUGCCCUUCAGUCAUAUUGGGGUUAUCAGCAGUGCGUGGGGAAUGAGCCAGGUAAAUAUCCUUAUAAUCGACAAGUAAUACCUACCUUUUGUGACAGUUCAUUUGCUUCCUUCAGGCCUGAGUGGCAAUCAGUGCAUUCUUUUUUAGUACCACAAGACCCUCAUCUUUCCAGUUUUAACUAUCACUUAAAUAUUCAAAGAUUCAACGUUCCACCAAAUCCAUCACCAAAUAUUUUCCAUGCCCAAGAUGGCUUUCAGAUGCAAAAUGGAUAUUAUGUAAAUAGUUGUCAUGUUAACUGGAAUUGUUUGACUUUUGAUCAGAACAAUGGAUAUACUGACUGUAGUGACAUUACCAGUAGUGACCAUCCCUCUAGAAAUGGCUACACUGUGCAAGAUGAAUAUGCGAAUAAUGGUUUCUGUGAAACCAGUGAAGGAUGCUGGAAAGCUCCUUCUGUGGACAAGCAUAAUCGAACUGACAGGUUUAUGAACCAGCAUUUUCAAGAGGAAAAGUUAAAUAAAUUGCAGAAGUUACUUAUUCUUUUAAGAGGUUUGCCUGGUUCUGGGAAAACAACAUUGUCUCGAAUUCUGCUUGGUCAGAGUCGUGAUGGCAUUGUGUUCAGCACUGAUGACUAUUUCAACCAUCAAGAUGGGUACAGGUAUAAUGUUAAUCAACUUGGUGAUGCCCAUGACUGGAACCAGAACAGAGCAAAACAAGCUAUCAAUCAGGGGAGAUCUCCAGUUAUAAUAGACAACACUAAUACACAAGCUUGGGAAAUGAAACCAUAUGUGGAAAUGGCCAUAGGAAAAGGAUACAGAGUAGAGUUUCAUGAACCUGAAACUUGGUGGAAAUUUGAUCCUGAAGAAUUAGAAAAGAGGAAUAAACAUGGUGUUUCUCGAAAGAAGAUUGCUCAGAUGUUGGAUCGUUAUGAAUAUCAAAUGUCCAUCUCUAUUGUAAUGAAUUCAGUGGAACCGCCACACAAAAGCACACAAAGACCUCCUUCACAGGGGAGACAGAGGUAUAUUCUUAAUGGAAUAGUUCCCCCAGCUGCUACCUGCCAUUCUGAGUUGGUCUCCAUCACAAAGAAUAAAAUGGGCAUUACUCAUCAUAUUCAACUAAGAGAAAGAGAUUUGAAGAAAACUGGGCACAGGUUCGGCAAAGCCAAGAAGAGAAACAGAAAAAGAAACAAAAAGCAGAACAGUCAUAGUAAAAUCAUGGAGGAAAACUCAUUUGAAACCUUAAGUUAUCUUACACCAGAAGAUCAGGACCCAUCUCAGAAUGAAGAGGAAGACUUAGAAGAGACCAAAAGAGAAUCAGAGUAUUCCUUAACGGGUGAUCUGAGAAAUGAAGUAGGAGAUUUUGUGAAUGUCCAUAAAGAUGAGAGACAGGAAAACAUAAAUUUUGAAAACAGUUUGCCACAUGUUAUGUCUGUAGUUGAGUUGGACAAUACACCAAAGAAUUUCCUCCCCAAGGAAGAUGAUGACUUGUUUCUAAAUUUGUCAUUGAUGCCAAAUGAAAGCUCUGUUGCUUAUUCAACAGUGACUCAAAAUCUCCCCUAUGUAGCAAGUGAUGACUGCCCUGGCACAAAGAUAGAAAAGCAUAUAGAAAGUAGGGAUAUCAUGGCAUUACACAUCCAAGACCGAUUUGUUGAAACCCCACGCUCAUUUAUGCAGAAGAAAGAGAUGGUAGAUAAGAGUCUCCUGAAUGAAACAAGUCUGUACCAUCAAUAUGGAUCCAGAACUUCAGAUAAAGUUUUAAGAAAGGAACAAGGAGUAAAUACAUCUAAAAAUAAUUACUGGGCUUUUUUCUCAAAUGAUUUCUCUGAUGAAGAAUUACAGUUGGGCUCUGAUAGACAACCCUAUUUUGGUAGCUGGCCUGAGGGACCUAAUAAGUUUAUAUGUGAACAGAGACCAAAGAGAGAUAGAUGGCAAAAACUGGCUUAUCCUGACAACAGGAGACAAUUGAUUAAAUUGAUCUCUCCUUCUGAAGGAGCAUCAGGACCAGGAAACAGUCCUGAAACAUUGAUAGAAGAGAAGCUAUCGAUAGAAAAUGAAGAUUUGUCACCUCCAACUGAGAAUAUAGAUUCAAUCAUAGAAACAGAGACAAAUAUCUUUGGAAGCCACUUCCUUAAGCUGGAUAGCCUAAAGAAUGCCUUACACUCAAUAAAGAAUAAAAAAAGGAGGCAGAAAAGGAUUUUCAGUUUGGCACCAAACUUUAACUUACUGGGACAGAGUCAUAUCAAUGUAAAAGAAAUGGGGGAAUGUGAAUUGUUAACAGAAAGCCAUGGAAUAAAAAUUAUUUUGGAAGAAAAAAAAGAUGUCAUUUCAGAAAUAAAUAAUGAAGAAGAGAAUAAGCAAAACAUUAUGACCUUCAAUCAUCAUCCAUCAUGGUUUUACUUUGACAUUGUCAAAGAUUCUCUUCUAAAUGUUGGUGGACAAUUUUAUUCUCAUUACCUGCUAUUUAAUAGACUAAGGCACUCUGUGUAUUUUUACAAAAGCCCCAUUCCUUCUCUUAUGCUACAAUAUACAUCUAGCUUUUGGAAGAUAUCUUUUACAAGCAAGAAACCGUUUUUGACUUCCAACUCUCAGAGGAGAGUAGAUGAUAAACUAAAUGAUGUAAGGUUCACUUCUUCAGAAAUUUUAAGUAGCCCACCUGAUACUUUGUACUCUUUUAGGGUCACUAAUGAUCUUCACUUUUUAAAUGAAAGUUUUGGUGAAAAGCUAGAGACAUGGGAAGAACCUAAACCAUUACAGUUCUCACAAACAGAGGAUAACCAAGAUGUAACAAGCACUGACUACUAUGAUUCCCUUGAGCUACCAUUAUCACAAGAGUUUGCCUUUCAACUAGUAAAGCUUUUUGGAUCUCCUGGAGUUCCAGUGGGUAAAUUGAGUUUAUUUGCUACAAAUAAAAAGUCCAGUUUAACAUAUAAUCUUUGUUGCCCGACGACUGUGUGGUUCCUCUUGACUGGAAGACACUGAAGAUGAUCUGUUUACAGUGGAAGACGUCAGUAGAGAAAAGACAGAAGAAGAUUGGUUAAAAAAAUGAGGAUUCUUUGAACUUUGAAGUCUCCGUCUUCCUGGUACUGUUGAAGACCCUCAUCAUCAAGAAAGAGUGCUAAGUGCCAAACUGAAGGAUAAUUUAGAGUGAUACACUCAGUGGAUACCGAAAUUGGUUUGAAUAAUCUGUUCAACUAUUCUUAAUCAGUUUCCUGAUUACUAAUAAAAAACUCAACGAAAGAGGUAA